CAGCAGCCGCGGUAAUACGAAGGGGGCUAGCGUUGUUCGGAUUUACUGGGCGUAAAGGGCGCGUAGGCGGACUGAUAAGUCAGGGGUGAAAUCCCAAGGCUCAACCUUGGAACUGCCUUUGAUACUGUUUGUCUUGAGUUCGAGAGAGGUAAGUGGAACUGCGAGUGUAGAGGUGAAAUUCGUAGAUAUUCACAAGAACACCAGUGGCGAAGGCGGCUUACUGGCUCGAUACUGACGCUGAGGCGCGAAAGCGUGGGGAGCAAACAGGAUUAGAUACCCCCGUAGUCCCUGUCUCUUAUAC
rnacentral:rRNA from 1 species